ACGAACGCUGGCGGCGCGCUUCACACAUGCAAGUCGAACGGAAAGGCCUGCUUUCCCUUGUGGAUUGCGGGUACUCGAGUGGCGAACGGGUGAGUAACACGUGAGUGAUCUGCCCCCAACUUGGGUAUAAGCCUGGGAAACUGGGUCUAAUUCCCGAUAGGACUGCAGGGUGGUGCCUGUGGUGGAAAACGAUUUUCUAGUGGUUGGGGAUGGGCUCGCGGCCUAUCAGCUUGUUGGUGGGGUAAUGGCCUACCAAGGCGGCGACGGGUAGCCGGCCUGAGAGGGUGGACGGCCACAUUGGGACUGGGAUACGGCCCAGACUCCUACGGGAGGCAGCAGUGGGGAAUAUUGCACAAUGGGCGGAAGCCUGAUGCAGCGACGCCGCGUGGGGGAUGACGGCCUUCGGGUUGUAAACUCCUUUCGACCGCGAGGAAGCCACCUGGUUGGAAGGGUGGUGACGGUAGUGGUAGAAGAAGCACCGGCUAACUACGUG
rnacentral:rRNA from 1 species